AUAGCGUAUAUUAAAGUUGUUGCAGUUAAAAAGCUCGUAGUUGGAUCUCGGGUCCAGGCUCGCGGUUCGUUUCGCGACGAUACUGCCCGUCCUGACCUACCUCCCGGUUUUCCCCCGGUGCUCUUCGCUGAGUGCCUCGGGUGGCCGGAACGUUUACUUUGAAAAAAUUAGAGUGCUCAAAGCAGGCAGUUUGCCUGAAUAACCGCGCAUGGAAUAAUGAAAAAGGACCUCGGUUCUAUUUUGUUGGUUUUCGGAAUCCCGAGGUAAUGAUUAACAGGGACAGACGGGGGCAUUCGUACUGCGACGUUAGAGGUGAAAUUCUUGGAUCGUCGCAAGACGAACUACUG
rnacentral:rRNA from 1 species